UACCUGCAGCUCAAGUGGUGAUCGUUAUUAUUGGGCCUAAAACGUCCGUAGCCGGUCUUGUAAAUGCCUGGGUAAAUCGUAUGGCUUAACUAUACGAAUUCCGGGUAGACUGUUAGACUUGAGACCGGGAGAAGCUAGAGGUACUCCUGGGGUAGAGGUGAAAUUCUGUAAUCCUAGGGGGACCACCAGUGGCGAAGGCGUCUAGCUAGAACGGGUCUGACGGUGAGGGACGAAGCCCUGGGGCGCAAACGGGAUUAGAUACCCCGGUAGUCCAGGGUGUAAACGCUGCUUGCUUGAUGUUAGUCUGGCUCCGAGCCAGAUUAGUGUCGGAGAGAAGUUGUUAAGCAAAGCUGCCUGGGAAGUACGGCCGCAAGACUGAAAACUUAAAGGAAUUGGCGGGGGAGCACAGCAACGGGUGGAGCGUGCGGUUUA
rnacentral:rRNA from 1 species